rnacentral:rRNA from 1 species
CGAGCGGUAAGGCCUUUCGGGGUACACGAGCGGCGAACGGGUGAGUAACACGUGGGUGAUCUGCCCUGCACUUCGGGAUAAGCCUGGGAAACUGGGUCUAAUACCGGAUAUGACCUCCGGUUGCAUGACUUGGGGUGGAAAGAUUUAUCGGUGCAGGAUGGGCCCGCGGCCUAUCAGCUUGUUGGUGGGGUAAUGGCCUACCAAGGCGACGACGGGUAGCCGACCUGAGAGGGUGACCGGCCACACUGGGACUGAGACACGGCCCAGACUCCUACGGGAGGCAGCAGUGGGGAAUAUUGCACAAUGGGCGAAAGCCUGAUGCAGCGACGCCGCGUGAGGGAUGACGGCCUUCGGGUUGUAAACCUCUUUCAGCAGGGACGAAGCGCAAGUGACGGUACCUGCAGAAGAAGCACCGGCUAACUACGUGCCAGCAGCCGCGGUAAUACGUAGGGUGCAAGCGUUGUCCGGAAUUACUGGGCGUAAAGAGUUCGUAGGCGGUUUGUCGCGUCGUUUGUGAAAACCAGCAGCUCAACUGCUGGCUUGCAGGCGAUACGGGCAGACUUGAGUACUGCAGGGGAGACUGGAAUUCCUGGUGUAGCGGUGAAAUGCGCAGAUAUCAGGAGGAACACCGGUGGCGAAGGCGGGUCUCUGGGCAGUAACUGACGCUGAGGAACGAAAGCGUGGGUAGCGAACA